rnacentral:rRNA from 1 species
GCUCAGGAUGAACGCUGGCGGUAUGCUUAACACAUGCAAGUCGAACGGUCUUUUCGGAGAUAGUGGCGGACGGGUGAGUAACGCGUAAGAAUCUACCUUCAGGUUGGGGACAACCACUGGAAACGGUGGCUAAUACCCAAUGUGCCGAGAGGUGAAAGGCUUGCUGCCUGAAGAAGAGCUUGCGUCUGAUUAGCUAGUUGGUGGGGUAAGAGCCUACCAAGGCGACGAUCAGUAGCUGGUCUGAGAGGAUGAUCAGCCACACUGGGACUGAGACACGGCCCAGACUCCUACGGGAGGCAGCAGUGGGGAAUUUUCCGCAAUGGGCGAAAGCCUGACGGAGCAAUACCGCGUGAGGGAGGAAGGCUCUUGGGUUGUAAACCUCUUUUCUCAGGGAAGAAAAAAAUGACGGUACCUGAGGAAUAAGCAUCGGCUAACUCCGUGCCAGCAGCCGCGGUAAUACGGAGGAUGCAAGCGUUAUCCGGAAUGAUUGGGCGUAAAGGGUCCGCAGGUGGCAUUGUAAGUCUGCUGUUAAAGAGUCACGCUCAACGUGAUAAAAGCAGUGGAAACUACAAAGCUAGAGUAUGGUCGGGGCAGAGGGAAUUCCUGGUGUAGCGGUGAAAUGCGUAGAUAUCAGGAAGAACACCGGUGGCGAAGGCGCUCUGCUAGGCCAAAACUGACACUGAGGGACGAAAGCUAGGGGAGCGAAUGGGAUUAGAUACCCCAGUAGUCCUAGCCGUAAACGAUGGAUACUAGGCGUAGCUCGUAUCGACCCGAGCUGUGCCGUAGCUAACGCGUUAAGUAUCC